UACGUAGGUGACAAGCGUUAUCCGGAUUUAUUGGGCGUAAAGCGCACGCAGGCGGUCUAUCAAGUCUGACGUGAAAUCUCUCGGCUUAACCGGGAGCGGUCGUUGGAAACUGAUGGACUUGAGGCGAUGAGAGGGGUGUGGAAUUCCCGGUGUAGUGGUGGAAUGCGUAGAUAUCGGGAGGAACAUCAGUGGCGAAGGCGACUACCUGGCUGUUCUUGACGCUGAGGCGCGAAAGCUAGGGGAGCAAACAGG
rnacentral:rRNA from 1 species